CGGAGAACCCCGUGACGAUACGUCCUCCACGCAAGUUACUCCAGUUGUAUUGGAUUUGGCUGCAACGCUGUUUACCCCUAAAACAUUAGCAUAGUGGAUGAGAUGGAGGCAACCCAGGAGGGAGCAGUGGCUCUGGUUGCAGUGGUGGAUGAAGCGGAGGUGCCUGCAGGAGUUCCCUUUGAAACUCAUCAUGUGUUGAUCGUUCUCAAAUCAAGUUGUAAUGUCUCACAGAUCUUGAACUGAUUCACUGGUAAUUUUGUGUGGACUGAUCUAUGCUCUACAUUUGAGCUACCCUGAGAAGCUGAGUGGCUUCUUUGAGUUCAUCCAGGUUGUCCUGUUAAAUCUUGAUGA